AUACGUAGGGGGCGAGCGUUGUCCGGAAUGAUUGGGCGUAAAGGGCGCGUAGGCGGCCCGGUAAGUCUGGAGUGAAAGUCCUGCUUUUAAGGUGGGAAUUGCUUUGGAUACUGUCGGGCUUGAGUGCAGGAGAGGUAAGUGGAAUUCCCAGUGUAGCGGUGGAAUGCGUAGAGAUUGGGAGGAACACCAGUGGCGAAGGCGACUUACUGGACUGUAACUGACGCUGAGGCGCGAAAGUGUGGGGAGCAAACAGGAUUAGAUACCCUGGUGGUCCACACUGUAAACGAUGAAUGCUAGGUGUAGGGGGUAUCGACCCCUUCUGUGCCGCAGUUAACACAAUAAGUAUUCCGCCUGGGGAGUACGGCCGCAAGGUUGAAACUCAAAUGAAUUGGCGGGG
rnacentral:rRNA from 1 species